AAGUAAAAAGUUCAGCAUUGCGACCUAUUGUGAGUCGUUGCCUAAGAUAUUAUGGAAUGCUGUAAAUGAUUGUCAAAAAAGUUAGAUAUUAUUAGUAUUAUUGCGAUGAGCCGCCUAAGUUAUAAACAAAGUCAAAUGCCGUGAUUUAUCGUUUGGAGGAGAGGCUUCCGAUGUAGAGUUAUCAUUGAGGCCUUAGUCCCGAAGGCGAGCUAGAGAUCACUGACACGAAGCAAAUGCAGAAGAUGGCUACUCAAUAUUUGGGGUACGAAAUCAUCAAGGGAUACACUAUCAAAUAAAUUAUAUUUCGUUGGGACUAAAAAAAAGGGAACAAAACGGAUCAGUUUCGCAAAAUAUCUGUUCCGCAGCCAAAUUUUUUGCUGGCUGGGUAGAUGUUAUACCCCUCGGUUGCUGGGAAAAAAAUCGUCCCGAAUGGUUCUGCUGGCAAAUUUUUGGAGUCGAACUAGUUGUGCUGGGAGUAUUUUUUUGGGCGCUGGAGCGGAUGCUUGGGGGAAAAAUCGUCCCGAUCGGUUAUACGGGUGGGAAUUAUCACCACUUCUGGCUUGGAAAAUAAUUCCUAACCGAUGCUGGCUGGAAAACAUGGGAUAAGAUAUUUUUAUCCCAGCAACUUUUAAAGUGAUUUUCGGCAUCAGAACAUCUUCAAACAACGAAAUAGGCAAUUUUAACGUGUUUCGGAAAGGAUUUAAUUUGGUCAUAUAUGCCCAGGACUGUUCUGGGGGGAGGGGGGGGGGUGCGAAAGAUAGAUAGAUAGAUUUUAUUCAUGGCACCUUAUAAAACAUUUACAUCGGCGUAAAUCCACAAAUAAUAUGUUUUUCUUACUUUGCCUUUUGCAUUUUUUUCUUGUUUCGAAUGAUUAGGUGACGUCACCGUACGUCGUCAUCAAGCUUCACAUUUCUUGCCUUCAUACAUUCAAAAAUAUGUUUCGCUAAGCGCCGAUUCACGUUUUCAUUCCGGCUCAAUCCCAUAAUUCUGACGAAGUUAUUUUCUUUGUUGGCAUGGUGUUUAACAUUGAUACCUGCAUGCGUUUUAAGGAGAUCCAGUAAAUUAUCCCGAUCAUCUUUAUAGGCCGGACAUUCUAACACAAAAAAUGCUCUUCAUCCUUCACUUUACCUGUCUGGCAUACUAAGCAUUUUCUUUCGUUAGGUUUUUUAUAUGGCUUUUCAUACCUUCCAGUUUCAAUUGCUAGCUUAUGAUUGCUUAGCCUGAAUUUAGUAAGGGCAAUCCUAUGGUCAAUAUUUUUUACGUCCGUUAGAUAAUCUUCUAAAUUGUGGGACAGUUUAAACUUUCUGAGCGUACGCAAUUUGUUCUUUUGUUCUUGGUCUUUUCUGUUGUCAUUUUGAAUAGAGCUAAGCCAUGUCUGUUGUUCAAUGUCAUAAAGCCUUUGUUGAAGAAAACUGUAUGUUGCUUCGGGA